GGUAUUCCAGCAGCUUACAAACGCGCUCUCCCCCUUUUCUCUCUUCAGUUCUGUGUGGGAAGCCUUAACAUUCCAAAAAUAGGUCUCUCUCCUUCUCCUCCAAUUUUGUUCAGGUCCAAUGUAAAGAAUUCGGCAUCUUUGAAACCCAAACUUCUUAUACAAAUUAUGGCCCUCCAGACUUGCCUCCAGCCACCCAGGGAUAUUCUCUUUAUCCGCAAUGUCAACGCCAUAUGGUAACAUUGCAGAGCCAGCACCAAGACCUUGGUGGGCAAUCUUGGUCGCGAGACAACCGAGUACUUUUUAUACUGUGAGAAAAAAUGGCAUGUGUCUGAAUCUGAGACUUGUCCUUCCCUAGAAAAUACAUGGGAAAGGGGGGAAGAACGUGCACGGAAAGGAAAAAAGGGCUCCAAUGGCAGAUGGCGAAACCC
rnacentral:sRNA from 1 species